UAGAUAGGGGUCCCUGAGAGGGGGAUCCCCCACACUGGUACUGAGACACGGACCAGACUCCUACGGGAGGCAGCAGUGAGGAAUAUUGGACAAUGGAGGCAACUCUGAUCCAGCCAUGCCGCGUGCAGGAAGACUGCCCUAUGGGUUGUAAACUGCUUUUAUAUAGGAAGAAACCUUGGUACGUGUACCAAGCUGACGGUACUAUAAGAAUAA
rnacentral:rRNA from 1 species